rnacentral:lncRNA from 10 species
CACAAGAGGUACCCAGGACACAGCUUUGCAGAGAGCCGGGGAGUCCCGCCUGGAGGAAAUGGUGCAGCUAUCACUCACUUACACAAGGAUGAAGGAUAGCCACUGAGCAAGCCUGUAAGGCUAUUGGUCUGCCCAUUCUGGUUUCUUCACCAAUGAGAAAACUGGGACCUGGGGAGUUUGCAGAAGCCAUCCAAGGGCACCUGCUUCUCACAGCACAGCAGCUUCCUGCAGCCCUCCCUCCUGUCUUGUUUCUCCCUUAAUUGAGAGGAGAGGCCAGAACCAGAUGCAGGCAGUUCCAACAGUAAUGAAUUGCUCUAAGGUGUGGAUCCAAGAACCGGUGACAAGGUCAGGAAAUUCCAUCCCGGGACACUGACCCAACUAAGAGACUGUGCAUGAUGGCUAAGUUCAGAGCUCUGAGGAGAUGGUAAAACUCAUUUGCAACGAAACAAGAUAUUUUCCAACUCUGCAGCCAGCUCCUCUUCCCCUCAGGCUGUGAGUGGAUGCAGCCUGAGUCCUCCCCAGAAGCAGAUCCUGGCGCCAUGCUUUCUGUACAGCCUGCAAAACUGUGCAGAAAGCUGGAAGUGAUGCUCCAGGGAGUUUAUGUCUCCCCAUCUUGACCCACACCAAUACCUGAGGCUCGUUGCUUUGAUUCAAGUCCGGACAAGCUCUAAGGUUCAGCUCACACUGGGAGUCACGCUGCAGGAGCUCCUGGGAGUCUGUGAACGGUGGUGAUGCAGAAAAGCAAAGCGUGUAUAUCUGUUUUAGUCCUCCCUCAGAUCUGCUGAGGACACCUUGAGCCUGAAGUGAAAUCACAGUGGCUCUCAGGAAGAAGGGUGACUGUCUGGUGUGCAGUUGUGCUGCCACGGCAAAGGGAACUUUAAAACAUAGAACUGCCAUGUAGAAGCUCAGGAAAUAUCCAUGGUCUGUCAUCUCUUUUGGUCAUAGAAUCAAAAAAAAUGGAAGACGAGAAAAGGCAGUGAAGACUGACAGCCUGUUGGUUGCUAUUCCAGUCGUGUCUGCUCCAUACGCGCCCUCCAUCUCAUCCCACCCAGUCAGUAUAUUUUCACCAGGCAGUGUUGCAGAAAUGUCUGUGGACUCCAGUUCUAUUGCAGUCAGGCAGCAUUUACAGGAUUCUAAAGACCAUUUCCACAUGGAGAAGCUGCCAGAACAAGCACUGCUACCCUUGGAGGCCAUUGACAUUGUGAGGUCGCUGGGACUGAAAGGAGGUUGACCAGAAGUUCUGUUUGGCAAUGCAAAGCCAGGAGGAAAAGUUAAUGGAGUUUGUCCCCCGGGUCCCAAGAAAGCUGACCCAGGACGAUGAAGCUAGAAUUUGUGUUCUAGGAGGUGCUGCUUCUUCCAGGAAAGUCUACUCAAAGCACACACUGUGAGCUGCUGCAUGUCUCUUGAGCUAGUUCACUGCAGUUUUCAUGAUGAAAGUGAUCUGUUUCAGUAAACUUUCUGUUAUUUGAGAGCAUGGGAAAAAUAUUUGCUGUGAUUUCCCAAUUCCCCAUUUUUUCUGAUUCUUUGUUGCAGUUUCCACAACUUUGUUAUCAGGCUGUGACAGAGGUUUGUGAACUGAUGAAAGCUCCAGAGCCUCCCAGGCCCUCUGAGUCUGAUGCCUGCACUCCACAAUCAGGCCUCAAGCUCAGGGCGCCUGCCACCAACCCACGCUGGGCUUCAGGGGCAGGCAGCACUUGAAUGGGGUUUGGUUAUUGUCUUUCUUUAUUUUCUCUUAUUUUAAGCCUUAAAAAAAAAAAGAUAAGGUCUUGCUCUAUUGCCCAGGCUGGAGAGAAAUGGUGUGAUCAUAGCUCACUGCAGCUUUGAAUUCCUGGGUUCAACCGAUCCUCCCACCUAAGCCUCCCGAGUAACCAGGACUGCAAGUAUGCACCACCACACCCAGUUAAUUAAAUUUGUGUGUGUGUGUGUGUGUAGAGGUGGGUUCUUGCUUUGUUGCCCAGGCUGGUCUUGAACUCUUGAGUUCAGACAAUCCUGCCACCUCAACCUCACAAAGUGCUGGAAUUACAGGCGUGAGCCACUGCACUCAGCCUCCUUAAGCCAUUUGCUUAAGUGGCUUUAUUGCAAAACAAUAUCAGAAUAACAAAGAAAUAUAAGGUCAAACUUUCCCUGUUCCCAUCUAGUCCAAUAAGCAUUGCUGCUCUUGCCAGGGAUUCUCGCCCAUCUCCAUGUGCCAGUGCAAUCCAUACUGGUUGUUCUCCUUGGCUACCCCACAUCUGAGUCUCUGCCUUGUCUGCAUUCUUCCCCACUUUAUGAAGAGAUGAGUCAGUGCCUGAUUUUUUCUGCCUCUCUUGUCACUAGGGCACAGCCAUGUGCAUGGGCCCUGUCACUCAGAAGCCCCCAUCCACCAACAACAUGGCUCUGGGGGCCUCCUCUCUCUGGAAGAAUUGGCAGUUUUAGCAAGAAAGGUUUUCAGAGGCAGCAAUGAUGGUGGAGAUGUCCAGGGCCAGUGGCAGGUCAAACCAUUCUCUGUGUCAUUUGGGGCAGUGUUUAUGCUGUCCCUCAUUUUGGUUCCCUAAGCCUCCGAACAUGUACGUGAAUUUCCGAAUAUUCUCAAUUAAAUUGUUUUUCUGUUGAAAUUGGCCUGGUUGCUUUCAACUAUGACAAACCUAGCUAUAUAAGUAUUAUUUUGUAGUGUUGGGAUUGAUAGAACUUUAUGUUCUACACAUUAGCAGAAUACCAUGUGUAUUUUUCCAUUUGACAUAAUCUUUUAUCUUUCCAUUGAUAAGUAUUAUUACUAUUUAGUGAUAUAUUAUUUGAGUUCUCUUGCCCCUUUUGGGUAGCCCAUGUUAACAGUAAUACCCAGCUGCUACACUGAGAGCCUCUGAGACUUACUGGCUUCAGGGGAGACAGCACAUUAUCAGCUGUGGUGGCCAUGGCCGAGACUCCUUUUGCCUGAGAAAAGCAGAGGAAAAUGUAGAAGGGACUUCGUCUUGCAUCUGAGACACCAGCACAGCCACAGGGUGGUAGAGCACCAAGGGGGCUUUUGGAAUCUUUGAUUCUGGGAUGUGGCUCUUGGAAGGCAUUUCUGGACUUGCCCUGGGCCAGGGGGAGCCCACUGUCUUAAAGGGUGAGUCCCAGGCCAGGCAGCAUUUGCCACAGUCGACUGAAGAGCCCUGGGGGCCUUCAAGGGACAUAGAAGGUAAUCUGAAAGUACUCCGCAUAGGCCUGUGGGGUGGUGGCCAUGGGGCAAGGCUGCCCUGCCUCUGGAAAGGGUAGGAGAGAGUGAGAAAGACUGCAUCCUGUUGUCCGAGUGCCAGCUCAGCCACAGUACAAUAGAACACCAGCUAGGCUCCCAGCCAGCACCUCUGGACCAGCCUGGAAACUGGGGGUAACUCAUCGCCCUGAAGGGAAGGACAAAGGCCUGGCUGGCUUUGCCGUCUGCUGAUUGUUGAGCCCUAGGCGGGGAGCGGUUACAGUCGGCCUUGGGUGAGACUCAGAGCUGCACUGGCUUCAGGUCUGACUCAGCACAGUCACAGUGAUGGUGGCCACAGGGGUGCUUAUGUCACUCUAUCCCAGCUUUAGGUGGCUCAGAACAGACACACUCCAUUUCUUUGGGAGAAAGUAAGAAAGAGAACAAGAGUCUCUCUGAUAAUCCAGAGAGUUCUCCCAGAUCUUGUCCAAGAUCAUCAAGGCAAUACCACUGAGUCUGCAAAAACUGCAGUGUUACUGGGCUUGGGGUGCCCCCUAAAACAGAUACAACUUAGAUCACAACACCCAUGGCCUUUUAAAUAUGUGAAAAGCCUUCCCAAGAAGGACGGGUACAAACAAGCCCAGAUAGCAAAGGCUACAAUAAAUACCUAACUCUUCAAUUCCAGACACAAAUGGACACCUACAAGUAUCAAGACAUUCCAGGAAAAAAAUGACCUCACCAAAUGAACUAAAUAAAGCAUCAGGGACCCAUCCUGAAGAAACAGAUACGUGACCUUUUAGACAGAGAAUACAAAAUAGCCACUCUGAGGAAACUCAAAGAAAUUCAAGAUAACACAGAGAAGGAAUUCAGAAUUCUAUCAGAUAAAUUUAACAAAGAGAUUGAAAUCAUUCAAAAUGAUCAAACAGAUACUGUGGAGAUAAAAAAUGGAAUUGGCAUACUAAAGAAUGCAUCAGAGUCUUAAUAAUAGAAUUAAUCAAGUAGAAGAAAGAAUUAGCUUGAAGACAGGCUAUUUCAAAAUACACAGUUAGAGGACUCAAAAGAAAAUAGAAUAAAAAAUAAUGAAGCAUGUCAAAGAAUCUAGAAAAUAGCCUCAAAAGGACAAAUCUAAGAGUUAUUGGCCUUAAAGGGGAGACAAAGAAAGAGAUAAGGGUAGAAUGUUUAUUCAAAGGGAUAAUAACAGAGACUUUUCGAAACCCGGAUAAUAAUAUCAAUAUCCAAGUACAAGAAAACAGAACACCAAGCAGAUUAAAUCCAAAGAAGACUGCCUCAAGGCAUUUAAUAAUCAAAUUCUAAAGAUCAAGGGUAAAGAAAGGAUCCUAAAAGUAACAAGGGAGAAGAAACAGAUAACAUACAAUGGAUCUCCAGUAUGUCUUGCAGUGGACUUUUCAGUGGAAACCUUAAAGUCCAGGAGAGAGUGGCACAACACAUUUAAAGUGCUGAAAGAAAGAAACUUUUACCCUAGAAUAGUAUAUCCAGCAAAAAUAUUCUUCUAACAUGAAGAAAAAAUAAAGACUUUCCCAGGCAAACAAAAGCUGAGGGAUUUUAUCAGCACUAGACCUGUCUUAUGAGAAAUGCCAAAGGGAGUACUUCAAUCAGAAAGAAAAGGAUGUUAGUAAGUAAUCAUGCGAAAGUACAAAAUUCAUGGGUAAUAGUAAGCACACAGAAAAACACAGAAUUUUAUAUCCCUGUAACUGUGAUGUGUAAACUACUAUUAUUCUAAGUAGAAAAACUAAAUGAUGAACCAAUCAAAAAUAAUAACUAUAACAAUUUUUCAAGCCAUAGACAGUACUAUAAGAUAUAAAUAGAAACAACAAAAAGUUUAAAAUCAGGACAAAGUUAAGACGUAGAGUUUUUAUUAGUUUCCUUUUUUUUUGCUUCUUUGUUUCUUUGUUUAUGCAAACAAUGUUAAGUUGUUAUCAGCUUAAAGUAACAGGUCAUAAAGAAGCCAGUCAUGGUGUCUCACACUUGUAAUGCCAGCACUUUGAGAGUCCAAGGUGGGUGGAUCACUUGAGGUCAGAAGUUUGAGACCAGCCUGGCCAAUAUGGCGAAACCCCAUCGCUACUAAAAAUACAAAAAUUAGCCAGGUAUGGUGGCACAUGCCUGUAAUCCCAGCUACUCAGGAGGCUGAGGCAUGAGAACCCAGAAUGUGGAGGUUGAAGUAAGCCAAGAUCACACCACUGUACUCCAGCUUGGAUGACAGAGCAAGACUCUGUUUCAGAAGGAAAAAAAAAAGUCAUAAGAUAGUAUUUGCAAGCCUCAUAGUGACCUCAAACCAUAAAAACAUACAAUGAAUACACAAAAAGUAAAAAGCUAGAAACUAAAUCAUAUUACUAGAGAAAAAUCACUUUCACUAAAGGAAGGAAAGAAAGAAGGCAGAGAACAUCACAGAACAACUAGAAAACAAGUUAACACAAUGGCGGGAGUAAGUUCUUACUUAUCAAUAUUAACAUUGAUUGUAAAUAAGAACACCAAUAAAAUGAAAGAUUACAUCAAGUUAAAAAGUUAAAAAGCUUCUGCACAGCAAAGGAAACAGUCAAUAAAGUGGUAACCCCGCAGAGUGGGCAAAAAAUAUUUGCAAACUACCCAUGUGACAAGGGAUUAAUAACCAGAAUAUAUAAGGAGCUCAAACAACUCUAGAGAAAAACAAAUCUAAUAAUCUGAUCAAAAAAUAGGCAAGAUAUUUGAAUAGACAUUUCUCAAAAAAGACAUACAAAUGGCAAACAGUCAUAUGAAAAGGUGCUCAACAUCAUUGAUCAUCAGAACAAUGCAAAUAAAAACUACAAUGAAAUGUCAUCUCAUCCCUGUUAAAAUCGAUUGUAUCCAAAAGACAGGCAAAAACAAAUGCUGGUGAAAUGUGGAGAAAAGGGAACCCUCAUACACUGUUGGUGGGAAUGUAAGUUAGCCCAACCACUAUGAAUAGUGGUUUGAAGGUUCCUCAAAAAGCUAAAUAUGGAGCUACCAUAUGGUUCAGCCAUCCCACUGCUGGGUAUAGACCCAAAAGAAAGGAAAUCAGUAUAUUGAAGAGAUGUCUGCACUCCCGUGUUUGUUUCAGCACUGUUCACAGUAGCAAAGAUUUUGAAACAACCCAAGUGUCCCUCAAUAGAUGAAUAGAUAAACGAAAUGUGGUGCUUUUACACAAUGGAGUACUGUUCAGCCAUAAAAAUGAAUGAGAUCCUGUUCUUUACAACAACAUGGGUGGAAAUGAAGAUCAUUAUAUUAAGUGAUAUAAGCCAGACACAGAAAGACAAACAUUACAUCUUCUCAUGUACUUAUGGGAUCUGAAGAUCAAAAUAAUUGAACUCCAUGGACAUAGAGAGUAGAAGAAUGGUUACCAUAGGCUGGGAUUAGUAGUGGGACAGGUGGGGCAGGGGGCAGGUUAGGACAGGUAAUAGGUACAAAAAUAAUAGGAAGAAUGAAUAAGACCUACUAUUUGUUAGCAUAAAAUGGUACUUGUAAUCAAUUACACUUAAUUAUAUGUUUUAAAAUAACUCAAAGAGUAUAAUUGGAUUCUUUGUAACACAAAGAAUAAAUGUUUGAGGAGAUGGAUACCCUAUUCAGCAUGAUGUGUUAUUAUGCAUUGCAGGCCUGUAUCAAAGCAUUUCAAGUACGCUAUAGAUAUAUACACCUACUAUGUACUCACAAAAAUUAACAAAUUAAAAAAUUAAAGAAAACAGAGUGAGAAUGGGAUGGUGAGCAGGUGGUAUAAGGUAUAUGAUAUUGGUGUUCAGACUGUUAUCCAAAACCCUAAGAAUAGGCCAGGUGCGGUGGCUCACACCUGUAAUCCCAGCACUUUGCGAGGCUGAGGCGGGUAGAUCAUGUGGUGAGGAGUUCAAGACCAGCCUGGCCAAGAUGGUAAAACCCUGUCUCUAGUAAAAAUACAAAAAUUAGCCAGGCAUGGUGGUGGGCGCCUGUAAUCCCAGCUACUUAGGAGGCUGAGGCAGAGAAUUGCUUGAACCCAGGAGGCAGAGGUUGCAGUGAGCUGAGAUCAUGCCACUGCACUCCAGCCUGGGCAACAGAGCGAGACUCUGUCUCAAAAAAAAAAGGCAAAAAAAACAAAA